rnacentral:rRNA from 1 species
AGGCACUCACCGCCUGCCACAAUCAUCGGUAGGUCGACCGUCUGGACCUCGGAUCAGGCCAGGCUACCCGCUGAAUUUAAGCAUAUUAAUAAGCGGAGGAAAAGAAACUAACCAGGA